CGGACGGGUGAGUAACGCGUGAGAAUUUGCCUUUAGGAGGGGAACAACAGUUAGAAAUGACUGCUAAUGCCCCAUAUGCUCUAUUAUAGUGAAAUGGAGUUUAUCCGCCUGAAGAGAAGUUCGCGUCUGAUUAGCUAGUUGGUAAGGUAAUGGCUUACCAAGGCGACGAUCAGUAACUGGUUUGAGAGGAUGAUCAGUCACACUGGAACUGAGACACGGUCCAGACUCCUACGGGAGGCAGCAGUGGGGAAUUUUCUGCAAUGGGCGAAAGCCUGACAGAGCAAUACCGCGUGAGGGAUGAAGGCUCGUGGGUCGUAAACCUCUUUUUUCAAGGAGGAAUAAAUGACGUGUACUUGAAGAAUAAGCAUCGGCUAACUCCGUGCCAGCAGCCGCGGUAAGACGGAGGAUGCAAGUGUUAUCCGGAAUCACUGGGCGUAAAGCGUCUGUAGGUGGUUUAUUAAGUCGAUUGUUAAAGCUUGAGGCUCAACUUCAAACCAGCAAUCGAAACUGUUAGACUUGAGUAUAGUAGAGGUAAAAGGAAUUUCCAGUGGAGCGGUGAAAUGCGUAGAUAUUGGAAAGAACACCGAUGGCGAAGGCAUUUUACUGGACUGUAACUGACACUCAGAGACGAAAGCUAGGGUAGCAAAUGGGAUUAGAUACCCCAGUAGUC
rnacentral:rRNA from 1 species